rnacentral:lncRNA from 1 species
UUUGUUACUUAGUGUCUGUUUCGUUAGGCGUUUGCAACCAACAGACGCACGUUUUUAGCUCUAAACGUGAUUUUUCACUUUUUGAACAUGUUUGGCUUUCUGUUUUCAAAUCGAUUCUGUGCUCCAAAAUCAAUUCUAGGAGAAGCUCCAAAUCCUAGCUUCUGGAAAUCGCGUCUCCACCACAUGUAUUAUGUCACCGUUAAUUUGUCAAUUUUGCCUCUUUUGAAGUCCAUCGGUGAUGGAAGAGAAAAUACGAGGCUGUUCACCCAAGAUCAAUAGAUUUACUGAGAAGGAUGAAACAACAAGGCAGAGGAGAGGGUGCUUGCGGCAAGGCGGCGAUAUUGUAACUUGAAAUUAGAGAAUUGUGAGAGUGAAAAUGAUAAUUUAUUGAGAAAUAUCAUUCAUUGAUUUGGAAAGGAGAUUGAGGGUUUGU